CUUGACAUCCAGAGAACUUAGCAGAGAUGCUUUGGUGCCUUCGGGAACUCUGAGACAGGUGCUGCAUGGCUGUCGUCAGCUCGUGUUGUGAAAUGUUGGGUUAAGUCCGCAACGAGCGCAACCCUUAUCCUUUGUUGCCAGCGAUUCGGUCGGGAACUCAAAGGAGACUGCCGGUGAUAAACCGGAGGAAGGUGGGGAUGACGUCAAGUCAUCAUGGCCCUUACGAGUAGGGCUACACACGUGCUACAAUGGCGCAUACAAAGAGAAGCGACCUCGCGAGAGCAAGCGGACCUCACAAAGUGCGUCGUAGUCCGGAUCGGAGUCUGCAACUCGACUCCGUGAAGUCGGAAUCGCUAGUAAUCGUGGAUCAGAAUGCCACGGUGAAUACGUUCCCGGGCCUUGUACACACCGCCCGUCACACCAUGGGAGUGGGUUGCAAAAGAAGUAGGUAGCUUAACCUUCGGGAGGGCGCUUACCACUUUGUGAUUCAUGACUGGGGUGAAGUCGUAACAAGGUAGGCGUACGUGU
rnacentral:rRNA from 1 species